rnacentral:rRNA from 1 species
UGGGGAAUAUUGCACAAUGGGCGCAAGCCUGAUGCAGCCAUGCCGCGUGUAUGAAGAAGGCCUUCGGGUUGUAAAGUACUUUCAGUCGGGAGGAAGGUGGUAAUGUUAAUAACCUUGGCAAUUGACGUUACCGACAGAAGAAGCACCGGCUAACUCCGUGCCAGCAGCCGCGGUAAUACGGAGGGUGCAAGCGUUAAUCGGAAUUACUGGGCGUAAAGCGCACGCAGGCGGUUGAUUGAGUCAGAUGUGAAAUCCCCGGGCUUAACCCGGGAAUUGCAUCUGAUACUGGUCAGCUAGAGUCUUGUAGAGGGGGGUAGAAUUCCAUGUGUAGCGGUGAAAUGCGUAGAGAUGUGGAGGAAUACCGGUGGCGAAGGCGGCCCCCUGGACAAAGACUGACGCUCAGGUGCGAAAGCGUGGGGAGCAAACAGG